GGGUGCGAUCAUACCAGUGUCAAUGCACCGGAUCCCAUCAUAACUCCACAGUUAAGCGCGCUUGGGCUAGAGUAGUACUGGGAUGGGUGACCUCCCGGGAAGUCCUAGUGUUGCACCCU
rnacentral:rRNA from 1 species